UGUGUGUGUGUGUGUGUGUGUGUGUGUGUGUGUGUAUAUAUAUACAUAUAUUUACACACACACACACACAAACACU